rnacentral:rRNA from 1 species
GAUGAACGCUGGCGGCGUGCCUAAUACAUGCAAGUCGAGCGAACAGACGAGGAGCUUGCUCCUCUGACGUUAGCGGCGGACGGGUGAGUAACACGUGGAUAACCUACCUAUAAGACUGGGAUAACUUCGGGAAACCGGAGCUAAUACCGGAUAAUAUAUUGAACCGCAUGGUUCAAUAGUGAAAGACGGUUUUGCUGUCACUUAUAGAUGGAUCCGCGCCGCAUUAGCUAGUUGGUAAGGUAACGGCUUACCAAGGCAACGAUGCGUAGCCGACCCGAGAGGGUGAUCGGCCACACUGGAACUGAGACACGGUCCAGACUCCUACGGGAGGCAGCAGUAGGGAAUCUUCCGCAAUGGGCGAAAGCUUGGCGGAGCAACGCCGCGUGAGUGAUGAAGGUCUUCGGAUCGUAAAACUCUGUUAUUAGGGAAGAACAAAUGUGUAAGUAACUAUGCACGUCUUGACGGUACCUAAUCAGAAAGCCACGGCUAACUACGUG